CGCAUCAAGUAUUAGCCUAGACUAUUUUAUCUUCACAACAAUUGUGAUAUUAUAAUAUAUUUGUGAUGUUACUCUGAGUGUGUAUCCACACCCGACAAGCUUGAAAAAUAUGCCUGGCCACGGUGGGAAUCGAACCUACGACCUUUGGAAUACUAGCCCAAUGCUCUGCCAACUGAGCUACGCGGUCAAGUCGGUUCGAGUAUGUGAUAUUUCGGAACUGAGUCUAGUU